AGGGUGUAAACGCUGCAGACUUGGUGUUGGAAGCCCUUUGGGGGCAUUCAGUGCCGGAGAGAAGUUGUUAAGUCUGCUACUUGGGGAGUACGUCCGCAAGGAUGAAACUUAAAGGAAUUGGCGGGGGAGCACCGCAACGGGAGGAGCGUGCGGUUUAAUUGGAUUCAACACCGUAAACUCACCAGGGAAGACUGUUACAUGAAGGCCGAGAUGAAGACUCUGCUAGAUUUUCAGAGAGGUGGUGCAUGGCGUAGACGUCU
rnacentral:rRNA from 1 species